rnacentral:rRNA from 1 species
UUGGCUACACCAAAGUGCAAGGGAGGGAUGGGGUUUCGCGACCCGCAUCUCUUUAAUCUGGCCAUGUUGGGCAAGCAUGGCUGGCGCUUCAUCACCAACUCAAACUCGCUUUGUGCUCGAGUUCUAAAGGGUCGGUAUUUCCCGGAUACGGACUUCAUGCAUGCUACAAUUCCCAAACCUGCAUCGGCCACUUGGAGGGCAAUAGUAGCAGGAAGAAGUGCCCUAAAGACAAGUUUGAUAUCCAGGGUAGGAGAUGGAUCCACCAUCUCACUAUGGGAGGACAAAUGGAUUCCGGGGACGGUCUCCAUGACACCUACCUUGAGGCCUGUGGAUACAGUCAUUGACCGAAUAUUGGACCUAAUUGAUACUGAUCAUUGGACUUGGAAACAUGACGUGAUUACGGACAAUUUCACCAUCCAGGAUGCCGCCGCCAUCCUUAACAUUCCAAUCAGGCAAGGUGGAUGGUGA